CUAGUACUCCCUCCGUCCGAUAAAACUUGUCCCAAACUUGUCUCUCAAAUGAAUGUAUCUAGCACUAACUUGAUGCUAGAUACAUCCAUUUAAGGGACAAGCUUUUUCGGACGGAGGGAGUAGUAC
rnacentral:pre_miRNA from 1 species